CAAAAAUGCCAUUAAUUCCUGCCGUCUGAGCAUCUAAAUUUGCUCUAAAAUUUAUCCUAACUAUACUUCUAUUUGAAAUAAAAGAAGGAAAAAACGCACAAAGAAUUUUAAAAAUAUUAACAAUAAUUUAUCAUUACUUAGUGUUAGAAACACGUAGGAUGCGCACGCGGUGACACAGUCCUUUAAAUCGAUUUUGUUAAACAAGGACAAAGGAUAAAGCCUAAACUUACGUUCCGUUUAUCAAUUUGUUAUUCUUCGCUGGUUUGUUUGUAUAAAUUUAGGAAAAAGGGAC